GAUGAAGAACGCAGCGAAAUGCGAUACGUAAUGUGAAUUGCAGAAUUCAGUGAAUCAUCGAAUCUUUGAACGCAUAUUGCGCUCUUUGGUAUUCCGAAGAGCAUGCUUGUUUGAGUAUCAGUAAACACCUCAAAGCUUUUGGAUUUUUUAAUCGAAAAGCUUUGGACUUGAGCAAUCCCAACACCAAUCUUUUUGAGAUCGGUGGCGGGUUGCUUGAAAUGCAGGUGCAGCUGGACAUUCUCCUGAGAUAAAAGCAUAUUCAUUUAGUCCCGUCAAACGGAUUAUUACUUUUGCUGCAGCUAACAUAAAGGGAGUUUGACCGUAUUGGCUGACUGAUGCAGGAUUUCACAAGGGUCGGCAACGAUUCUUGUUAAACUCGAUCUCAAAACAAGUAAGACUACCCGCUGAACUUAAGCAUAUCAAUAAGCGGAGGA
rnacentral:misc_RNA from 1 species